rnacentral:lncRNA from 10 species
GUCUAGGGGAGGAGGAUGUAUGCACAUCUUUUAUUAGAAUUUAAAAGGGGUCUGUGAAUCAAUAUAGUUUACAAACUACUAAUUCAGGGUCUAAAUUGAGCAGCUUUAAUAUCGGGGGCGGGGGGAGGGAAGAGAGACGUCACUGGAAUGAUGCAUGUUCCUCUCAUGCACAAUUUUUAAAAGCCUCACCAGCUAGGUAGACAUGAAAGUAAGAGAUGGAGAACGCUGGUCACUGCUGCAAAGACAUGGAGAACAACCACGGCUGUGCCCGGUUCUUCAGGUGGCUGCCAGUCCCCCCGUGCCUGCUCCCUGUCCCUGCCUGCCUUCCCGCUGAUGAUGACUGACGUUCUGGGACGGAGGAGCAGGUUAGGCCUAGGUACAGUUGUGUGCUGGUAAAUUUGUAACAAAAGGCUCUCCAGGGGAAGAAAAGCCCUGAUUUUCAGUGUUUGCCAAUUUCCACGGUAUUAAAAGUACUCACACCAAGGCCGGUUUUAAGCAGUGCUCCUGAAGUCCCUGAAGACAGAGUUGAAAAGCAUCGUGCACAGUUGACUCUUCUAAGCUAGUCCGAGCUGGCUCCAACACACUACUGCCUAUAGCAAUUGCUGUGAACCAGAGGAAUUGUGAGCCAGAAAUACCAAUCAGCAAACGACAUUGAUGAUUCACAGCAUUUGAUGAAGCACAAAAUCUUAAUAUCGCAAUCUCUAAAGGAAUGAAACUGUUGAUCAGAGUUGCAGUAUUGAUUCUUCCUGUGGCCAUGGAUACACAUAUGGGCUACUUCAGCAAGCCUGUUCUCUUUGGAAAUCUCCAGAGGAGACAGAGGUGUCAGUGUCUAUGGAAAUGUACAACUCACACGUUUGGGAAUCUGACAUGCCCUUCCAAGAACUCCCUCUUCUACUCCGUUCUACUCCACUAUGAGCAUUAUUCAAAAGAGCCAAGAUAUGGAAGCAACUGAAGUGCUCAUCAACAGGUGAGUGGAUUUUUAACAAGUAGUAUAUGUACAUGAUGGAAUAUUAUUUGGCCUUAGAAAUGAAAGAAAUUCUGUCAUUUGUGACCACAUGGAUGAAUCUAGAGGACAUUAUGCUAUGUGAAAUAAGCCAGGCACAGAAAGACAAAUAUCACAUGAUCUCACUUCUGUGUGGAAUCUAAAAAAGUCAAACUCUUAGAGAAGUAGAAAACAGAAUAGUGGUUACGAGAAGCAGAGGGGAGGGGAGGAGAGUGCAUGGUGAAAGAGAUGUUGGUCAAAGGUACAAAGAUUAGUUAGACAUGAGAAAUAAGUUCUGGUGAUCUGUACAGCAUGGUGACUAUAGUGAAUAAUGUACUGUAGAUUUCAAAAUUACUAUAAAAGAAUGGAUUUUUAAUAUUCUCACUAUAGGGAAAUGAUAAGUGUGUGAGGUGAUGGAUGUAUUAGCCUGAUUCCAUCCUUCCACAAAUGCAGACAUGUAUCAAAAGAUCACAUUGUACUCCAUAAAUAUGUAUAUUUAUUAUUUG